GGCAUGCAAGUCGAGCGAGAACCCGCAAGGGGGACAGCGGCGAACGGGGUAGGACAACGUAGGUAACGUACCCUCGGGGCGAGGACAGCCACGGGAAACUGUGGGUAAUACUCGAUAAUCUUCCCAAUCAUGAUCGAAGGGGAAGCAAUGGGUGUGAUUCCACCUGAGGAGCGGCUUACGCAGUAUCAGCUUGUUGGUGAGGUAACGGCUCACCAAGGCUAUGACGCUUAGGGGAUGUGAGAGCAUGAUCCCCACCACUGGCACUGAGACACUGGCCAGACACCUACGGGUGGCUGCAGUCGAGAAUCUUCGGCAAUGGACGCAAGUCUGACCGAGCGACGCCGCGUGCGGGAUGAAGGCCUUCGGGUUGUAAACCGCUGUCAGAGGGGAUGAAGUGUACGGGAGUUAUCUCCUGUAUUUGACAGAGCCUCAGAGGAAGCACGGGCUAAGUUCGUGCCAGCAGCCGCGGUAAUACGAACUAUGCGAACGUUAUUCGGAAUCACUGGGCUUAAAGGGUGCGUAGGCGGCUGCCUAAGUCAGGUGUGAAAUCUCUCGGCUCAACCGGGAAACUGCGCUUGAUACUGGGCGGCUCGAGUGAGGUAGGGGUGUGUGGAACUUCCGGUGGAGCGGUGAAAUGUGUAGAUAUCGGAAGGAACGCCAGCAGCGAAAGCGGCACACUGGGCCUUUUCUGACGCUGAGGCACGAAAGCCAGGGGAGCGAACGGGAUUAGAUACCCCGGUAGUCCUGGCCGUAAACACUGAACACUCGAGGAGGGGGGCUUCGGCCUUCUUCUCUUAGCGAAAGCGUUAA
rnacentral:rRNA from 1 species